rnacentral:rRNA from 1 species
AAUCAACGCUGGCGGCGUGCCUCAGACAUGCAAGUCGAACGAUUAAAGCUCUCUUCGGAGAGUGUAUAGAGUGGCGCACGGGUGAGUAACACGUAAGUAAUCUACCCUCGAGUGGGGAAUAACAACCGGAAACGGUUGCUAAUACCGCAUAAUGCAGCGGCACCGCAAGGUGACAGUUGUUAAAGAUUUAUCGCUUGAGGAGGAGCUUGCGGCAGAUUAGCUAGUUGGUAGGGUAACGGCUUACCAAGGCUACGAUCUGUAACCGGUCUAAGAGGACGGUCGGUCACACUGACACUGAAUAACGGGUCAGACUCCUACGGGAGGCAGCAGUCGGGAAUUUUGGGCAAUGGGCGAAAGCCUGACCCAGCAACGCCGCGUGAAGGAUGAAGUAUUUCGGUAUGUAAACUUCGAAAGAAUAGGAAGAAUUAAUGACGGUACUAUUUAUAAGGUCCGGCUAACUACGUGCCAGCAGCCGCGGUAAAGUCG